rnacentral:rRNA from 1 species
GAUGAACGCUGGCGGCGUGCCUAAUACAUGCAAGUCGAGCGAACAGAUAAGGAGCUUGCUCCUUUGACGUUAGCGGCGGACGGGUGAGUAACACGUGGAUAACCUACCUAUAAGACUGGGAUAACUUCGGGAAACCGGAGCUAAUACCGGAUAACAUAUUGAACCGCAUGGUUCAAUAGUGAAAGGCGGCUUUGCUGUCACUUAUAGAUGGAUCCGCGCCGUAUUAGCUAGUUGGUAAGGUAACGGCUUUCCAAGGCAACGAUACGUAGCCGACCUGAGAGGGUGAUCGGCCACACUGGAACUGAGACACGGUCCAGACUCCUACGGGAGGCAGCAGUAGGGAAUCUUCCGCAAUGGGCGAAAGCCUGACGGAGCAACGCCGCGUGAGUGAUGAAGGUCUUCGGAUCGUAAAACUCUGUUAUCAGAGAAGAACAAAUGUGUAAGUAACUGUGCACAUCUUGACGGUACCUGAUCAGAAAGCCACGGCUAACUACGUG